UAUGCCUGGACGUAACACGGCACCACCCCGCCCGCCAAAUAACUACGAGUGAAAACUUAAAACUUAAAAGACUUGACGGUACUUCACACCCAACCUAGAGGAGCCUGUCUACUAACCGAUAAUCCACGAUUAACCCAACCACUUCUAGCCACCCAGCCUAUAUACCACCGUCGCCAGCCUACCUUGUAAAAGAAACAAAGUGAGCCAAACAGUACUACACUAACACGACAGGUCAAGGUGUAACUAAUGAAGCGGACUAAGAUGGGCUACAUUCUCUACCCCAGAUUACACGAACAAGGCUAUGAAACUAACCUUUAAAGGCGGAUUUAGCAGUAAGCUGAGAACAAAAUACUCAACUGAAACCAAUGCAAUGAA
rnacentral:rRNA from 1 species